GCUGGGUGUGGUGGCGCGUGCCUGUAGUCCCAGUUACUUGGGAAGCUGAGGCGGGAGAAUCACUUGAGCCCAGGAGGUCGGGGCUGCAGUGACUGUGAUCAUGCCACUGCACUCCAGCCUGGACAACUGAGAGAGAGCCUGUCUAAA
rnacentral:SRP_RNA from 1 species